AUCUACGGUCAUGCCGCCCUGAACGCACCCGAUCUCCUCUAAUCUCAAAAGCUAAGCAGGGUCGUGUCUGGUUAGUACUUGGAUGGGGGUCCGCCUAGUAAUGCCGGAUGCUGUAGGUG
rnacentral:rRNA from 1 species